GGCGCAGUCACGAAAGGGCCAGAUAGGGCUGUUUUGCAGCGGUGGCCCAAAACAUGCAGAAAGGCUGCAAGGGCCGAAUUUUUUUCCAAAUCGUUCCUUCUACACACUGUCGAGGAGGGCAGCGGGAAGGGACGAGUCGACGCCGGUGUGCGGUGGCGGCGGUCGCGCGGUAACGUUUCCCUUCAGCUUCGAUCAUGUUGGUGGCGGCGCCGGCCACAAAAGGCUCACCCACCAAGGAUUUGACGGCUGUCGAGCCCGGGGACGAGGUGGCGCAGUCGGUGUUCGACGCAGGGGGAGCUAUGGGUUCGGUCUCGGUUUGUCAGGCGAAUGGCAACCACCAGCCGCCGCCGCCGCAGGCAGAAGCGGAGCAGGUCGUCGAGGAUGGCGUUGCCGUCGACAGGAUCAAUGGCAACUACCAGCCGCUGGAGCUGGUGGCUGAGGCGGGGCAGGUCGUCGAGGAGGGCGAUGCCGGCGUGACCAUGGAAGGCGUCGCUUCCAUCGCCUUGCUGCCUACCGGUGCCAUCUCCGGCCAUUUCAUUCGCCUCCCUGACUCCAUCUGCUACGGGCUACACGGCACCCCAAUAUCUUGCGAGAGGGAAUGUAGCCGAGGAGAGGACUACCGCCUUAUAAAGCUCACCAUCAUUGAUUUUAAGAGCAAGAGAGAGAAGGUGCUUGUGGUGGAAUGCAGGGGCCAUGAUGCUGCUCGAUUACAAAACAUUGACCAUUUGCAUGGGUGGGAAGAUGACAUUGUUGGUUUGGUUGAGAAGGAGCACGGAAAUCAGAAAGUCUUGCUCUCCUUUGAAUGCGAGACGCUGAAGGCUGAUAAAGACGCGGAAGAUCAUAUUGCCAAAUAUAUGCCAAAUCUGUGUGGACUGGACGCAGUUGGUAACGGCAACGUCAAUGGUAUCUAAAAUCGGUGCUUACUGUUACAGUGCAAAAGAUACCGCCAUUUGUUUGAUUGGGUGUGCUAAUUAUUUUCACUCCCUUAAAUCGCCUCCACCCGGCAAAGGGAUCGGAUAGAGUAAAUAUAGGGAAAAUGAGCAUCUCAGGCAUCAAUCUCGACGAGGACGCCGAACCAAGAGGGGACAACUGAGCGUGUGAACAGUGGUCAUUGUUCAUCAGCACUGGUAAACUCUGCACGAAUCACAUCAAACGCUUACACUGCACUACAUAUGGCAGUUUGAUACGUGUCUCAUUACCAGUGCCUGUACUUAAAAUUCUGUGGCUGUGAAUCGGAUUCAAAACCCUUUAUACGUUUCAACUUUCAAGUUACCACGUCGCUUCUUGCACGAAUCCCAAGGGUCGGUUGCUCCUGCUGGGUGCAUUUCUUGUCUGUGGCGGUACUGUUUGUCACGCUUUGUACGUAUGACUAGCAUUGCUUGUCUGUUUAUGAGAGUGGUGCUGUGUUUCGUC